UUGACAUCAAGAUAAAUGAAGAAGAUGGAGACAGAGGGAAGGAAUGAAACACAUACUGUUACAAGAGAACCUUGGCACCAGGAUGCUAAAGGAGAACUUGAAUUCCAAAUUUCAUUGUGGUGUCACAAGGUAUAAACAAGAACCUGGCAGCACAGCUUCGCGAGAGGGUUCCACUUAGAAGCCAGUGAUCUGCUCUUCCAGUGAAUCCUAGUUGAGUUCCUGGUUCCUGUUUCAGGUGAUCACAACGACUUGCAACUUUAGCUAUAAGAGAGUGCUCAUUAAUCCAUCAUGGAAGUGGUCCUACUUGGUAAAUCAAUUGAGGCUGUCAUGAAUGGACCUGUGAAAGUGGCGAGAAAUUUGAAGAAGAAGAAAACUGAAAUAAAUGUCAGGGGUCAUAAGUCUCUAGAAUUCAUGCAUUGUACAAUCUAGGAUUUUCUUCGUACAUUAGGUAAGUGAAUCUCAGUUUAUGCUGGCCUUAAGUAGGAAAGAAGGCACACAGAGUGCACAUUUGCUUAACAAUGCUUGGCUGUGCCACAUAUUAUAUCAGCAUAGUGUAUCCACUCAAAAAGCAAGAUUUCUUUUUAAGGUGAUCAGAGACAGUAGACGAGAACACAGUUGAACUGGUGAA